rnacentral:rRNA from 1 species
AGGAAUCGUACCCGAAACCGACACAGGUGGUCAGGUCGAGUAGACCAAAGCGCUUGAGAGAACUCUGCUGAAGGAACUAGGCAAAAUGGUACCGUAACUUCGGGAGAAGGUACGCUGCCGACGGUGAUAGGAUUUACUCCUUGAGCUAUUGGCAGCCACAGAAACCAGGCCCCUGCAACUGUUUAUUAAAAACAUAGCACUCUGCAAACACGAAAGUGGACGUAUAGGGUGUGAUGCCUGCCCGGUGCUGGAAGGUUAAUUGAUGGGGUUAGCGUAAGCGAAGCUCUUGAUCGAAGCCCCAGUAAACGGCGGCCGUAACUAUAACGGUCCUAAGGUAGCGAAAUUCCUUGUCGGGUAAGUUCCGACCUGCACGAAUGGCAUAAUGAUGGGGGCGCUGUCUCCAGCAGAGACUCAGUGAAAUCGAAUUCGCCGUGAAGAUGCGGUGUACCCGCGGCUAGACNCUCCAUUAUCUGGAGCGAGGACCAUGUCUGGUGGGUAGUUUGACUGGGGCGGUCUCCUCCUAAAGAGUAACGGAGGAGUACGAAGGUGCGCUCAGCGUGGUCGGAAAUCACGCGUAGAGUAUAAAGGCAAAAGCGCGCUUAACUGCGAGACCCACAAGUCGAGCAGGUACGAAAGUAGGUCUUAGUGAUCCGGUGGUUCUGUAUGGAAGGGCCAUCGCUCAACGGAUAAAAGGUACUCUGGGGAUAACAGGCUGAUACCGCCCAAGAGUUCAUAUCGACGGCGGUGUUUGGCACCUCGAUGUCGGCUCAUCUCAUCCUGGGGCUGAAGCAGGUCCCAAGGGUAUGGCUGUUCGCCAUUUAAAGAGGUACGCGAGCUGGGUUUAGAACGUCGUGAGACAGUUCGGUCCCUAUCUACCGUGGGCGUUGGAAAUUUGAGAGGAUCUGCUCCUAGUACGAGAGGACCAGAGUGGACGAACCUCUGGUGUACCGGUUGUGACGCCAGUCGCAUCGCCGGGUAGCUAUGUUCGGAAGGGAUAACCGCUGAAAGCAUCUAAGCGGGAAGCCUACCUCAAGAUAAGAUUUCCCUAGGACUUUAUGUCCUCUAAAGAGCCGUUGAAGACUACGACGUUGAUAGGUUGGAUGUGGAAGCAUAGUGAUAUGUGAAGCUGACCAAUACUAAUUGCUCGUGAGGCUUGACUAUACAACACCCAAACAGUUGG